GGCUUCAUUGCUCAGAUGAUAGAGCGCUUGCCGCGUAAAGGCAUGGUGUUUCUGUCGCUGGUUUGAAUCCAGCCGAAGCCC
rnacentral:tRNA from 1 species